ACGAGUUGUAGCUGGCCUUCCGAGGCAUGUGCACGCUCUGCUCAUCCACUCUACCCCUGUGCACUUACUGUAGGUUGGCGUGGGCUCCUUAACGGGAGCAUUCUGCCGGCCUAUGUAUACUACAAACACUUUAAAGUAUCAGAAUGUAAACGCGUCUAACGCAUCUAUAAUACAACUUUUAGCAACGGAUCUCUUGGCUCUC
rnacentral:rRNA from 1 species